rnacentral:lncRNA from 1 species
GCGGAGGGUCGACCGAUGGUAGACUUCGGAUGGCGUUGGGGAGGCUCGUCCACUGGAGGAGUCUGGGGAUCCUGUGAAAGUCUGGAUGGCAUUAUGAAAGUCUGGCUGACGCUAUUGAAGGCUGAUGGCUGGGGAGGCUCGACAGACACCGGAGGCGAUCGACCAUUGUAGAAAUUCAGCUGCUGGAGCUCGUUUGUUGUAGAAGCU